AGCAAAGAGUAGCCCCUGCUCGCCACAACUAGAGAAAGCCCACACACAGCAACAAAAACCCAAUGCAGUGAAAAAUAAAUAAAUAAGAUGCUAGAUUAUAUCUCAGAUUUGUAAAACGGAUGGUCCAUAGGCCUUUACUCCCCUCCAGACUGUAUAACAGAGGGCUAAGAGCUGAGGCUGAAAGGCAGGUGAUAUUGAAGGUCUGUCUGGAGUGAGUUGUCACUUCCUUCCUCCCCCAGCCAAGGGGAAGGUUUAGGUGUCGAUUCUGUCUUUCACCCACUUAAGAGGGGAAUUGCAGAAAAGAACUCCAAGAGCUAUUGGAGUAUGAGGGACAGAGGGACUCUGGACUGAAAAUAAUCUAGCAGUGAUUGUGGCUGGCUUGUGGGCCUGGAUAGUGAGUCUAAAAAACUGUCUUGGGUGUGAGCCGUACCUCCAGAGCUUAGCAGAGCGUGGGUGUUUGUAUGUUUUCCAAGGGCCAGAUGUGGACUGCCCAAGAGGGCUGCCUGGAAUGGAGAGGUGCCCCACAUAGGGAAAGACUACCAGAAGCCAUGAGGCUGAGAGGGAAUCACAAGUGGCCAGAGAGAGGAGGUACCGAAAACAGACAGAUCUUGGACAAUGACAGUGAGCUAUCAUAACCAGGUAGACUCCAUUUUCAGCUUCUGUUCCAGACAUGUUUUCUUUACUGGAGAAGACAUCCCUUGGCACCUGAUGAGCCAGAAGAAGCCAGAAGGGUAGAGGAAAAUUCCUUCCUCCCCAACACCUGUUAAUAAAGAUCACCCAAAGCAGUUUACUUUCAACUGGCAGGGCCAGCAAUACACUUUUACUCUCCCUCCUCAAGGCUUUAUCAACUACACGGAUGCUAUCAUGCUAGAUGGAUCUGGUGGAAGUGGACUUCAUACGUGAUUGGACUUGAGCAAGACCUAAAGGCAAAAGCAAGUUGCAGGAACAAGUGCCUCAGGUUCCCAUGGCCUCUAUUCCUGCAAAACUGCCUCCUCUUUCUCACACCUCUGGCCUCAUGAGAAGUUCUCUAUGACCAGCUGACUGAGGAAUGAAAAAAGUCUGACCUGCUUGACUGCUGGUUCUGCAUGGUAUGCGUUUGUUCUGCAGGAUUUGAAUUAUUUCUACCAGAAGGUGGAAAGUUGCAGCACUGCUGCCCCACUCAGAGAGGACCCUAAAGUAGCGGUCCCCAACCUUUCUGGCACCAGGGACCGUUUCGUGGAAAACAAUUUUUCCACGGACAGUGGGGGAUGGGGGAUGGCUCAGGCCGUAAUGCGAGUGAUGGGGAGCGACAGAUGAAGCUUUGCUCGCCCACCGCUCACCUCCUGUUGUGUGGCCCCAGGGGUUGGGGACCCGUGCCCUAAAGAAUAAUUGUAAAGGAAAAUCUUCCAGUGCGUAAACCUUUGAGCAGUACACAUGGUUGCUUAUUUUGCCUGGAAGGAGAGAUGGCCAGAGGUAUAGACAUACACUAAAAAAAAGCGUGUGAAAAAAAAUAAAAUUAAAUUUAAAAAAAAAGUGUGUGUGUGUGUGUGUGUGUGUGUGUGCGCGUGUGUGUGCUGUGGCUAAAA